GCUGGGGCUGGGCGGGGUGAUCGGCGCCGGGCUCUUCGUGGGCUCGGGGGCGGGCAUCGCGGUCGCCGGGCCGGGGAUCGUGGUCUCGUACCUGCUC
rnacentral:tRNA from 1 species